UGGAGACCGUGUAUAUUUCAUAUUAGGUUAGAAGGGAGGCGGGGCUUAUUUUAUACACGGUUAGUAGUAGUGUUACGUCCCUUUAUAUUACAUAUUAGGUAAGAAGGGAGGCUGGGCUUAUUUCAUACACGGUUAGUAGUGGUGUUACCUCCCUUUAUAAAAACAAAACGGUACUGAGAAAAAAUCUUAAAGGUUUCAACAGACGAAGAAAAUGAUGAUUAAGAUGGA
rnacentral:lncRNA from 1 species